GCUGGGCCUGGUGGCGUGUGCCUGUAAUCCCAGCUACUCGGGAGGCUGAGGCAGGAGAAUCGCUUGAACCCAGGAGGCGGAGGUUGCAGUAAGCUGAGAUCAUGCCACUGCACUCCAUCCUGGGUAACAGAGUGAGACUCUGUCUCAA
rnacentral:SRP_RNA from 1 species